UUUUUUUUUCCUUUUAACACUUCAAAACGAACGAAGGAAUUUUUUUUCCUCAGUCCUUUUCUUUCCAUAAUUUUUUUUUCCUUUGUUCGUUCCACAGUGAGCUGAACCAAACUCACCCAACUCAUCCAACUCCAGAACGUAACCUUAAAUGCUUGGAUCGAGAAGAUUGGAUGAUCAGAACCAACUCCAGAACUCAUCCUUCUUCUUUUUCUAUUUUUUUUUCUUGUUCUUGGAUGAUCGGGAAGAUUGGAUGGUCAGUAAAUCUCCCCCCCCCCCCUUUUUUUCGUCAGUCUUCUUGAUUCGCCAGAGGGUCUUGAUCUGCUGUUGUUCUAAUUUUCUUGUUGUUGUUGUUGAUCUGCUGUUGAUCCGAAAGAGUUGUUGUUCUAAUUUUUUUUUUUUCUGUUCUUGAUCUGCUGUUGUUGUUGUUUUGAUUUUAGAUUUGUUGUUUAAUAGAGGGUAAUUUGGUAAUUUCCUGUGAGCCCAACGGAUAUAUCAAAACGCCUCAUUCACGUUUUGAUUUAUGGACCUCAGGAGGUCCAUAAAUUUUGCGCGUUUUGGACGCUAUUUUUGCCUGAGUCCAAAACGCAGCUUUUAUCAAAAAGUUGCAUUUUGGGCUGAGCCAAACGCAAUUUUUCUACAGCUUUUUCUAAUAUGCACGUUUUCAGCUCCUAAAAGUGCAAACAAAUGCACACUAAGUGUGUGUUUGUUUGCACUUUUAGGAGCUCAAAAAGCCCAUAUUACAAAAAGCUGGAGGAAAAUUGCGUUUGGCUCAGCCCAAAAUGCAACUUUUUGAUAAAAGUUGCGUUUUGGGCAUAGGCCAAAAACGAGGUAUAAACGCGCAAAAUUUAUGAACCUCAGGAGGUCCAUAAAUCAAAACGCGCACUGCGCGUUUGAUCUGUUACCAUUGGCUGAUGAUGGAAUUACGAAAAUACCCAUAAAAUUCAUCAGUUCUCUCAACGCCUGAAGCCUCACGCCCCUCAUCUCAUCUCUCUGCCCUUUUCACGAAGCUCCUCUCACACCUCCCAUCUCUUCUCUCUGCUCUGCCCUCUCCUUAUUGAAGGUAGAGAUUUGAUCAACAAAACACCAAGCAACACUAAUCUGCUCCCAAAAACCACCAGGAUUGCAUCAGUGCAAUUGAUGGCACACAUGUGACAGCAGUUGUACCUACUGAGAAGUCCAUUCCAUACUUUGGAAGAAAGGGAUAUCCAACCCAAAAUGUGAUGACUGCAUGUGACUUUGAUAUGUUAUUCAUAUUUGUUUUGCCUGAAUGGGAAGAUGCAGCACACGACACUCACAUUUUUCUUGAUACUAUUCGUAAACAGAGUAACAACUUUCCGCACCCACCACCAGGGAAAUAUUAUGUAGUUGAUUCUGGAUACCCAAUGAUGAAAGGCUAUUUGGCACCAUACAAGGGGAUAUCAUACCAUCUUCAAGACUUUCGAAGGAGAGGUGAAAGCCCUAGAACUAGACAUGAAAAAUUUAAUCAUGCUCACUCAUCUCUUCGAUGUACGAUUGAGCGCACUUUUGGUGUGUGGAAGAAUAAAUGUAAAAUUAUCAGAAACAUGCCAUCUUUUCUAUUCCAUAUCCAAAUACUUAUUGUAUCUGCUACUAUGGCUCUUCAUAAUUUUGUUAGACUAAAUGAUAGGGAUGAUAGGGGCUUCAUAAACGCCAAUCGAGAUUCAAUUUCUAGAAGAGAACAUAAUAGUGAAGCAGAUAAUAGUUAUGAGCAGAACUCAGGAUCUUUAACAGACCCUGCGAUGGUGGUUCUUCGUGAUUCCAUUGCUAAUUUCAUUUGGAGGGAUAAUAAUUAGUAGUUGUCUUUUUUUUUUUUUUUUUUUUAUAAUAUCAUAUAGUACAAUUUAAA